rnacentral:rRNA from 1 species
CGCACCUUGCACCCUUUGGUAUUCCGAAGGGUAUGCCUGUUUGAGUGUCAUUAAAUUCUCAACUUCAAAGGUUACUUGUUAACUUUUUUGAAGCUUGGACUUUGGAGGUUAUUGCAGGCAUAACUAAAAUGUCAGCUCCUCUUAAAUGCAUUAGCAGAACUUCAAAGAAAUCGGCUUACUGGUUUGAUAAUACAUAUCUAUGCCAUUACCGUGGACUUUCAUUUGUUCAGCUUCUAAUGGUCUUUGGACUGUCUCUUAUGAGGCAUACACUUUAAGCUUGACCUCAAAUCAGGUAGGACUACCCGCUGAACUUAA